rnacentral:rRNA from 1 species
UUGGAGGGCAAGUCUGGUGCCAGCAGCCGCGGUAAUUCCAGCUCCAAUAGCGUAUAUUAAAGUUGUUGCAGUUAAAAAGCUCGUAGUUGAAUUUCGGAGUUUGUCGGUCGGUCGGGCUUCACUGUCCGCACUGGCCUGACGGAUUCCUACCUUCUGAAUAACCAGCAUGCUAUUAAGUUAGUGCGUUGGGGAAGCAGAGCUAUUACCUUGAAAAAAUUAGAGUGCUUAAAGCAGGCUUAUGCUUGAAUAGAUUAGCAUGGAAUAAUAAAAUAGGACGGCAUGGUUCUAUUUUGUUGGUUUCUAGGAUCAUCGUAAUGAUUAAUAGGGAUAGUUGGGGGCAUUAGUAUUCAAUUGUCAGAGGCGAAAUUCUUGGAUUUAUUGAAGACUAACUUCUGCGAAAGCAUUUGCCAAGGAUGUUUUCAUUAAUCAAGAACGAAAGUUAGGGGAUCGAAGACGAUCAGAUACCGUCGUAGUCUUAACCAUAAACUAUGCCGACUAGGGAUCGGACGAUGUUAAUUUUUUAAUGACUCGUUCGGCGCCUUACGGGAAAC